rnacentral:rRNA from 1 species
UACGAAGGGGGCUAGCGUUGUUCGGAUUUACUGGGCGUAAAGCGCACGUAGGCGGACUAUUAAGUCAGGGGUGAAAUCCCGGGGCUCAGCCCCGGAACUGCCUUUGAUACUGGUAGUCUUGAGUUCGAGAGAGGUGAGUGGAAUUCCGAGUGUAGAGGUGAAAUUCGUAGAUAUUCGGAGGAACACCAGUGGCGAAGGCGGCUCACUGGCUCGAUACUGACGCUGAGGUGCGAAAGCGUGGGGAGCAAACAGG